UAGAGAGAAAAUCACUUUCCAGUACUUCAAGAAGCUGUUUGCUCAAGUUACAAACCCUCCCAUUGAUCCUAUCAGGGAGAAAAUUGUGUCAUCCAUAGAGUGCAUGAUUGGUCCUGGAGGUGAUCUCACAGAAAUGAGUGAGGAGCAGUGUCAUCGUCUCUCACUGAUGGGGCCUAUUUUAUCCAUUAAAAAGAUUGAAUUAAGAGGUUGGCGUAGCAACGUAAUUCAUAUCACUUAUCCCAAGACCCUGGGCAGGAAAGGCUUGGAGCAAACGUUGGACAGGAUCUGUGCUGAAGCUAGGGAUACAAUAAAGGUUACACAGUUUUGGUGCUUUUUGACAACUUUCGCGCCAAGUGUAGUUGCAGUGAGCUCUCUAUUGCGUGUACGACGAAGAACCCUUUGAUAAUAUCAUCAUAUCACAUUGUCUGGUUCUCCAAUGUGUGCUUCUGAUAUAGUGAUGAUGCUAUUGCUGCACUCCUUGAAAGUUCUGGAGAAUCUUUGGA